rnacentral:misc_RNA from 1 species
GUACCUUCAAGCUUUGCUUGGUGUUGGGCGUUUGUCUUUGUUAUAAAGACUCGCCUUAAAGUUAUUGGCAGCCAGUGUUUUUGGUAGUAAGCGCAGCACAUUUUGCGUCUUGGUCCCUAAACAGCGCCAUCCAUGAAGCCAUUUUCUCAC